rnacentral:rRNA from 1 species
AGAGGGGGAUAACAUUCGGAAACGGAUGCUAAUACCGCAUAGGUGAUGUGAGCGCAUGCUCGGAUCAUUAAAGAUGGCUUCGGCUAUCGCUUAUGGAUGGCCCCGCGGCGUAUUAGCUAGUUGGUGAGGUAAUGGCUCACCAAGGCUGUGAUACGUAGCCGACCUGAGAGGGUGAUCGGCCACACUGGAACUGAGACACGGUCCAGACUCCUACGGGAGGCAGCAGUAGGGAAUCUUCCACAAUGGGCGAAAGCCUGAUGGAGCAAUACCGCGUGAGUGAAGAAGGUCUUCGGAUCGUAAAGCUCUGUUGUUAGAGAAGAAUAAGAGGUGUAGUAACUGGCACCUCCUUGACGGUAUCUAACCAGAAAGUCACGGCUAACUACGUGCCAGCAGCCGCGGUAAUACGUAGGUGACAAGCGUUGUCCGGAUUUAUUGGGCGUAAAGCGAGCGCAGGCGGUCUUUUAAGUCUGAUGUGAAAGCCCACGGCUCAACCGUGGAUGGUCAUUGGAAACUGGAAGACUUGAAUGCAGAAGAGGA